rnacentral:rRNA from 1 species
CAGUAGCCGCGGUAACACGUAGGGUGCGAGCGUUAAUCGGAAUUACUGGGCGUAAAGCGUGUGCAGGCGGUUCGUUAAGACAGAUGUGAAAUCCCCGGGCUUAACCCGGGAGCUGCAUUUGUGACUGGCGAGCUAGAGUAUGGCAGAGGGGGGUAGAAUUCCACGUGUAGCAGUGAAAUGCGUAGAGAUGUGGAGGAAUACCGAUGGCGAAGGCAGCCCCCUGGGCCAAUACUGGCGCUCAUGCACGAAAGCGUGGGGAGCAAACAGGAUUAGAUACCCGCGUAGUCCCUGUCUCUUAUAC